GGGUUUAGAAAACAAAACGGUACAAAGUCUAAAUGAUAUAUGAAGUCAGCUACAAAAUAGUCAACCACUAUAAGUACAAACUACAAACCAAAACUUGAAACAGGUAUUACAUACAGUAACACACAUUUACAUAUCCAGUUCCAUCUCGCCAGUUUCGGACAUAAUUAUGAUGGUAUAUAGUUCAGGUGAUAAACUUGUGUAUACACCAGAGCAUACAAUUUCCAGGUUAUGCUUUAAGGCAAUUACAUCUAAACGAAAAAUGCAUCAAUCAAAAUUGAUAACAAAUCAUAAGGAUUUUCAUGGUGCACUCUUGGUCUGUAACCAAGAAAUCAAAAACACAACAAUGAUUGUAUCCAUUAAAUGGUCUGCUUACAUUUACAUAUCCAGUUCCAUCUCGCCAGUUUCGGACAUAAUUAUGAUGGUAUAUAGUUCAGGUGAUAAACUUAUGUAUACACCAGAGCAUACAAUUUCCAGGUUAUGCUUUAAGGCAAUUACAUCUAAACCAAAAAUGCAUCAAUCAACAUUGAUAACAAAUCAUAAAGAUUUUCAUGGUGCACUCUUGGUCUGUAACCAAGAAAUCAAAAACACAACAAUGAUUGUAUCCAUUAAAUGGUCUGCUUUAGCUUUUAUGAGAUGAUAGUACCAAAACCAAUAAUAAUAAUGACAGCAGUGAUGCUUAAUAUGGUAAAAGUAACAUAAUUACAAAUCCAAGAGAACAAAUAAUUAUAAUUAAAAGGAUCAAACUUUAAAUCUUCUUGCAAGCUUUUUAUUCUUCUGACGGUUCAUUGUGCAUACAUUCAUGUAUGGUUUGUUGUAUUUAACUAUCAAACUCAUGUUUUUCCAGUCAAGGGAGCCUGACAAAAGGCACCUAUUGCAGAAGUCAACACAACCAAACAAUAUCCAUUGUAACAUAUAAUACCCAGCAGGCAUGUUUCACGUUUUCAUCUACUGAUGUUCAAAGUCCAAACAAGAUAUGGAUUACAGAAAAAAU
rnacentral:lncRNA from 1 species